rnacentral:rRNA from 1 species
GCUAAAAACAUAGCCCAACCCCCCCCAUGAACCUUAAAAUUAUACCCCUUUAACUAAAACAUUUUACCAACCUAGUAGAGGCGAUCGAAAAUUUUAUUGGAGCAAUAAAUACUGUACCGCAAGGGAAAAAUGAAAUAAAAAUGAAAUAAACGAUUAAGCACAAAUAAGUAGAGAUCCCCCCUCGUACCUUUUGCAUCAUGGUUUAACUAGUCACAACCAGGCAAAAAGACUUUCAGUUUGGUCCCCCGAAACUAGACGAGCUACUUCGAGGCAGCCUUUGGGCUAACCCGUCUCUGUCGCAAAAGAGUGGGAAGACCUCCAAGUAGGGGUGACAGACCUAACGAGCCUAGUGAUAGCUGGUUUCCCAAGAAAAGAAUCAUAGUUCAACCUAAAGUUAGUUUAGCCUAAUAAAGCAAACCCUAUUCUUUAGAGCUAUUCAAAUAAGGUACAGCCUAUUUGAAACAGGACACAACCUACACCAACGGGUAAUUUCCCGACCUAAUAAAUAAGUGGGCCUAAGAGCAGCCACCUUUAAAAUAGCGUCAAAGCUUACUUUAUACAGUCCCCAAUCCCUCAACCCAAUAAAAACCCUUCAUCACUACUGGGUACCUCUAUGCCUUCUCAUAGAACUUAUUAUGUUAGAACUAGUAACAAGAAGUUAGCCCUUCUCUUAAAUGCAAGUGUACAUCAGAAUGGACCAACCACUGCUAAUUAACAUGCUUGAAAACAAAUUAGCAUCUUCGCUAGAAAACCCUACUUAACCCCAUGUUAACCUAACACAAGCGCAUUACAAGAAAGAUUAAAAGGAAAAGAAGGAACUCGGCAAACAUUAGCCUCGCCUGUUUACCAAAAACAUCGCCUCUUGCAUCUUAUAAGAGGUCCAGCCUGCCCAGUGACAUGUUCAACGGCCGCGGUAUUCUGACCGCGUGAAGGUAGCGUAAUCACUUGUUCUUUAAAUAAGGACUAGUAUGAACGGCAUCACGAAGGCUACACUGUCUCCUUUUUUCAAUCAGUGAAACUAAUCUCCCCGUGAAGAAGCGGGCAUGAUAAUAUAAGACGAGAAGACCCUAUGGAGCUUAAAACAACUAACAAUUGCUUUUCACCUCACUAUCUCAGCAUAAUAACCUUUAACCUAGCAAUUUGAUUACGCGUUUUCGGUUGGGGCGACCGCGGGGGAAAAAACAACCCCCACAUUGAACGGAACUAAACCCUGAGCAAAAAGCAACAACUUUAUGCACCAACACAUUGACACUCCUUGACCCAAUACUUUGAUCAAUGAACCAAGUUACCCUAGGGAUAACAGCGCAAUCCGCCUCAAGAGCCCCUAUCGACAGGCGGGUUUACGACCUCGAUGUUGGAUCAGGGUAUCCUAGUGGCGCAGCCGUUACUAAAGGUUCGUUUGUUCAACGAUUAAAACCCU